GCAUGGAGGGUUGUGGCGCAUGGAACGUGUUGGAAACUGCAAGGUAACGCGCGGACGUAGGAUCCGUAGCGGAUGGCGAUCUGUCAUCGACUGCUCUCUGCCAUCGCUGAGGUGAAGGUAGAGGAUCUCGUUCCGCUAGACCCGACGGAGCCGAGCGACGGUUCCUUUGCGGCGGCGGCGACCUCGAGCUGAGGGCAGCGAGAAGGCAGGGACAACUCGAUCUCCCUUAGCUGGCUAGACCCGAUGGAGCCGAGGGUUCCUUGCGGCGACGGCGGCCCCGAGCUGAGAGGCACGAGAAGGCAUCGACGGGAGGGCGAGCGAAUCCACGUCCUCGAUCCUCGAAUUCUAGAGCCUCAGCGACAAAGGUCGAAUCCAUUCAGGAACAUCUUUCAUCUAUUAACUCAACGAGAGGUCUCACCUCGAACGAAACACCACGCCAAAAGAAUAUGGAAUAAGUCUCCAAAAUACGAUCCUGAUUUAAUUGAGUUAAGGUUUGCCGAUGCAGAUGCUAAACUUGAUAUUUUUUCUUGGGCAGAAUCACAGUCCCUGCAUCGCUGGACUGCCAAGUAUUGCCCUCUUUUGCCACCUCCUAGGUCAACUAUUGCAGCUGCUUUCAGUCCAGAUGGAAAAACACUUGCGUCCACACAUGGUGACCAUACUGUGAAAAUAAUUGACUGCCAUACAGGGAAAUGUUUGAAGGUUUUGAGUGGACAUCGACGCACUCCUUGGGUGGUCAGGUACCAUCCAUUACAUUCUGACAUCCUGGCUAGCGGAAGUUUGGAUCAUGAAGUUCGUCUAUGGGAUGCUAAUACGUCAGACUGUAUUGGAUCACAAGACUUCCAUCGGCCAAUUGCAUCCAUUGCAUUUCAUGGAAGAGGGGAGAUUCUGGCAGUUGCAUCAGGUCACAAAUUGUACAUAUGGAACUACAAUAAGAGAGAUGACACUUCUUUCCCUGCCAUCAUACUAAAAACCCGCCGUUCGUUGAGAGCUGUGCAUUUUCACCCGCAUGGGGCUCCAUAUCUUCUGACAGCAGAGGUUAAUAAUAUAGAGUCUGCAGACUCACCCCUGACACUGGCAAGAUCCUCUGGAUAUUCAAAUUACCCUUCAGCCCUGCUGGUGACAAACACUAAUUCUAGAUUCUGUCCACUUCCUGAGUCCAAUGUGAUGUCACCUUGCUUAUUGUGGCCUGCAUACCUCAGAGAUGAUGGAAUUUUGCAUGUGCUUGGCAAUGACAGUAGUUCAACCAUUGUGCAGCAGAGAUCAUCAUUAGUUCAACCUUCCGCAUCAGAUACCGCAAAUGUACAGCUUGAACAGUUUGCUACCCCUAUGGAUGUAUGUCCUGGAGAGCCAACUUCAUCUAAUGACAUAUCAGAUGCAGUCACUGUGCCUACUUCAAAUGGAAUUGAAAUGCGUGGUGCUGGCAGCCAGUCUAACUCAAGACUGCAGGGCGGCAGCUAUAUUAGUAAUCUUGAGAGGUUCAGUGCUAGAGAUGAUUUGCAAGUGUCUUCCCUGAGCAGCACUGAGCCAAUCCCAUCAACAGCUGGGCUUUCAGGAUCUGUUUUACGCCGUGCUAUGCCACUGAAUAUGCUCCUCACUGGUGGAUUAGAUGUUCAAAUGUUCCUAAGAAAUAUAGGAAGUGGACAACAGGAUCAUUCUCUCUUCGGCGACUCACAUAACUGGGAGGUGCCAUUUGUGCAGGGUUUUUUGAUGGCCCAAAACCAUACAGGUUUGCACCCUGCACUUGUGAACAAUAAUGUCCUUGUAGACCUAUCUAUUGCUGGUACUGCAGGGACUAAUAACUUGACUAGGGAAUCACCACACAUGCAUAACUUUGGAUGUCCAGGUGCUUCAUCAUCGAUUCCCCUUACUGCUGGCAGUUCUAGGGGACUGGGACCAAAUCGACGCUAUGCCUCACGCUCUGUACCUGGGGUUGGGAGUUUGCUCCUAGGUCCUCAAAUUGACGAAGCUGAAGCUCAUGCUGCUUCGCUAGGUGCUGGUUCAGAAAUCACUGCGUCAAUGCUUGCUCCUGGUACUGAAUUGCCUUGUACAGUGAAACUCAGAAUAUGGCGGCAUGAUAUCAAGGAACCAUGUGUUCCUUUAGAACCUGAGGCAUGCCGUCUGACGAUUUCUCAUGCCGUUCUUUGCAGUGAAAUGGGUGCCCAUUUUUCCCCAUGUGGACGAUUUCUGGUAGCCUGCGUUGCAUGUUUGUUGCCUCAAACAGAAGGCGACCAUGGUAGCCAAUUGCCUGUGCCUUAUGAAGGGGCUGGAUCAUCACCAACUCGUCACCCGCUUCCCUCUCACCGAGUUAUUUAUGAGCUUCGGGUUUAUUCGCUUGAGGAGGAGACAUUUGGGGAUAUUCUUGCUUCCAGAGCAAUAAGGGCAGCACAUUGCUUAACUUCCAUUCAGUUCUCACCUACAUCCGAACACAUACUUUUGGCAUAUGGUCGUCGUCAUAGCUCGCUCCUUAGGAGCAUAGUUGUGGAAGGAGAAAAUGGGAUUCCUGUAUAUACUAUUUUGGAGGUAUACAGAGUUUCAGAUAUGGAGCUUGUGAGAGUGCUUCCUAGCGCUGAAGAUGAAGUCAAUGUUGCAUGCUUUCAUCCUUCACCAGGAGGUGGCCUUGUUUAUGGGACUAAGGAAGGGAAGCUCAGGAUCCUUCAGCACAAUGGCGCAGACAUGACAAACAUGGGGGUGGGUUGCUUCAUUGAGGAAAAUAUGGUUGAGAUCCAGAGGUAUGCAUUAGAAUGCUGAAGAAGCUUGGCCACAUCAUGUGAUUUUUAGGCUUACUUCCAUGGAAGUUUUCUAUGCAGGCUUCAUCUGUGUGAUCCUCUAAGGGAAAACAUUAGAUCCAUCUCCAACUAGAUUAUGACAGAUAAUUCUCAAUGAGUUCAUUUCAAGUGCCUUGGGGAUUGGUCUGUGCAGAGGCGGUAGGAGAUGUAAAUCUACAUGGCCAUCGUCGUGGCUGCCAUCACGAUGCUGUAAUUAUACCUUUGUACAUGUAUAUUCCGAUCAGCUUAACUCGUUUGCUGUUGUAUUUCAGAAAGGGUACGGUGCUAAUCCGUUUAAAAUCAAAGUUCCUUUUGCUGUAUACUUUAGCUAUCCUUACUACUGUCGAUGAUGCAAAAAUUUACUCAGGCGAAUGGAAUUGUCUGGGUUUGCUUUUACACUUGUGAAAA